rnacentral:tRNA from 2 species
GGCCGGAUAGCUUAAAGGUCAAAGCUUUUCUGAUUAAUGGAAGCGACCCAGGUUCGACUCCUGGUCCAGCCG